rnacentral:rRNA from 1 species
CCUACGGGAGGCAGCAGUGGGGAAUAUUGCACAAUGGGCGAAAGCCUGAUGCAGCGACGCCGCGUGAGGGAUGACGGCCUUCGGGUUGUAAACCUCUUUCAGCAGGGAAGAAGCGCAAGUGACGGUACCUGCAGAAGAAGCACCGGCUAACUACGUGCCAGCAGCCGCGGUAAUACGUAGGGUGCGAGCGUUGUCCGGAAUUAUUGGGCGUAAAGAGCUCGUAGGCGGUCUGUCACGUCGGAUGUGAAAGCCCGGGGCUUAACCCCGGGUCUGCAUUCGAUACGGGCAGACUAGAGUGUGGUAGGGGAGAUCGGAAUUCCUGGCGUAGCGGUGAAAUGCGCAGAUAUCAGGAGGAACACCGGUGGCGAAGGCGGAUCUCUGGGCCAUUACUGACGCUGAGGAGCGAAAGCGUGGGGAGCGAACAGGAUUAGAUACCCUGGUAGUCCACGCCGUAAACGUUGGGAACUAGGUGUUGGCGACAUUCCACGUCGUCGGUGCCGCAGCUAACGCAUUAAGUUCCCGCCUGGGGAGUACGGCCGCAAGGCUAAAACUUAAAUGAAUUGACGG